rnacentral:tRNA from 1 species
CAGGCCAUGGUGGGAUUCCCGAGCGGCCAAAGGGAGCAGACUGUAAAUCUGCCGUCACAGACUUCGAAGGUUCGAAUCCUUCUCC